AUUGAACGUUGGCGGCAGGCCUAACACAUGCAAGUCAGGAGAGCGGCGGACGGGUGAGUAUUUUAUGGGGAUCUUCCUAAUGGCGGGGGAUAACUACUGGCAGCGGUAGCUAAUACCGCAUACCAUCAGUUGAACCCAUAUGGGAUUAGCUUGUAGGUGUGGUAACGGCUCACCUAGGCGACGAUCCCUAGCUGGUCUGAGAGGAAGAUCAGCCACACUGGGACUGAGACACGGCCCAGACUCCUACGGGAGGCAGCAGUGGGGAAUAUUGCACAAUGGGCGCAAGCCUGAUGCAGCCAUGCCGCGUGUGUGAAGAAGGCCUUCGGGUUGUAAAGUACUUUCAGUCGGGAGGCGUUACCGACAGAAGAAGCACCGGCUAACUCCGUGCCAGCAGCCGCGGUAAUAC
rnacentral:rRNA from 1 species